GAUGAACGCUAGCGGCAGGCUUAACACAUGCAAGUCGAGGGGUAUAGUUCUUCGGAGCUAGAGACCGGCGCACGGGUGCGUAACGCGUAUGCAAUCUACCUUUUGCAGAGGGAUAGCCCAGAGAAAUUUGGAUUAAUACCUCAUAGUAUGUGAGAAUGGCAUCAUUUUCACAUUAAAGUCACAACGGCAAAAGAUGAGCAUGCGUCCCAUUAGCUUGUUGGUAAGGUAACGGCUUACCAAGGCAGCGAUGGGUAGGGGUCCUGAGAGGGGGAUCCCCCACACUGGUACUGAGACACGGACCAGACUCCUACGGGAGGCAGCAGUGAGGAAUAUUGGACAAUGGGCGCAAGCCUGAUCCAGCCAUGCCGCGUGCAGGAUGACGGUCCUAUGGAUUGUAAACUGCUUUUGUACAGGAAGAAACACUGGUUCGUGAACCAGCUUGACGGUACUGUAAGAAUAAGGAUCGGCUAACUCCGUGCCAGCCGCCGCGGUAAAAC
rnacentral:rRNA from 1 species